AUGUCCAUCUCGCGGUUUUCCUCCUCUCUCCACACCACCACCUUUGUGUUGUGCUACCUACUAGACAAUCUGGUACUAAACCUUCGACUCCCAUUUCUCAAGAAACAUUCACUUGUGCGGGUUUGUAUAUCGGAGGCCUCAUUGCACAACAUCAUCCACUCCAGUUGCCCUGCGCUGGAGUGCUUGGUGCUUGUUUUCACAGUUAGAAUCGGUUGUGUCCAAAUAAAGUCCCCUAACCUUGUAAGAAUUGGAAUUUCUUUUGACGAAAGGCAGCUCAUCAUCCAAGAUGCCCCUUCACUUCAAAGGUUGAUCCUUGAUUCUAGUUAUUCACCAUUGCAAAUAAUUGUCCUCUCUGCGCCUAAACUGGAGACCUUGGGUGUAAUACAUGAUCUCUGUGCUCAUUUCAAUAUGGUGUUUGGCUCCACAGUUCUUUAG
rnacentral:rRNA from 1 species